AUAUUGGUUUUUCCUAGGAACCCUUGAUUGUGAGACAAUGUGACCAUCGGUUUCUAAGGUUUUUGUAUUGAUUCUUGAAGGAGUCAUCGGAACUGGCGGCACUUGAAGCAUCCAAAGGAUUCGAGAGACGAUAAUGUUCCCUGUUUCAAAUCUUUUUGAGGUGCUCAGUUUUUCUGUCGACAAGGUGGUUGUGGCGUUUGAUUUAUAUGGUUAGGGUUUUCCAGAAUUGGGCUGACGGGAGAUCCGGGCACUCCAAAUAAGUGAGACAGGCAAGAGUAAGACAGCCAAAAAUAUCCUUUUUUGUACCUUUUUAUGUAUUAUUUUUAGUUCCCACUCACUUGAUAAUAAUGGAUUUAACUUUAUUUGUUAAUUUAAUUUUUUUAAUAGUGUCAUGAAGGAACCAACUUCGGGCGUACUACUGGUGGCCCGUUUAUUGC